GUGGCUGCACCAUCCACAGCCUGCCCUGUGUGCUCAGAGGGCCCCCACCAUCCCCAGCUCUCCCCCUGCACUGACAUGUUCCUCACUCUUCUCCCUGCACUUAGCUGCUGCUCUCCUGGCUGGAUCAAGUGCAGGCUAGAAAGCCUUCAACUAUUUGAAGCAAGAUGAGGGGAACUGUUUAAAGGAUAUUGGACAACUAAUAACAGCUCCAAUAUGGCUGUAACAUUUUGAAUUCAAAGGCAGGUAGAAUGUGGAAGGUCCAUCCUGAGAGUAUAUCCAGGCAACACAGAGGGAUCCUGGAAGUGCAAAUAAUGCUUAAAAACAAAGGAG